AUUUUUAUUGUGUAAUAAAUUUAUUUACAGAAGAAAUGAACAAUGUGAAAUGACAAAAGCAUAAAUGACAAUUUGACAGAUUAUUUAAAUGUGCAUAAAAUUCCACAUCUUUUCAUCACAUUGAAAGCUUCAAUCUUUCCAUACCAUUUUUGAGCAUUUAUUAUUAAUUAUAUAUAUAAAAAAAGAAGUAUGUCAGAUACUUGUACACAUACAAAAUGCAUUGGUGUAGAUAAGAAAGCAUGUCACAAUGACAACACGUUAUUGGUUUAUUUUAACCUAUUUUCGCAAUGAUUUAUACAUUAGAGGCCAGUUGAAAGUUCUUAUCUGUAAUUUUUGUUAAAAGCAAUGAACACAAGAUUUACUUCUUUUCGAAUGAAAAAUAUAUAUUCAUUUUUGAUAUUUCAUAAAAUUUUGGUACAUGUAUAUUUUGAUAGGAAUAACCCUUAUUUUUGAUUAUUUUGAAUAAGUGGGCCAAAGAUAAAAAAAAAUCAUUAUUAUUACCAAAAAGAUAUCGAAAUAAGUAGUUUCAACUGGCCCAUAAACAAUAUUUUCAUAAGUGACGACUAUAUAUAAUAAAAAUAGAAAAAAUGUGCAUUGGAUGAAAAAACCACAGUUUAACACGUACAAAUACAAGAAAUUUAAUUUCUCUGCAACAUUUAACAUAGGUUACAUAAUAAAUUUUAUGGCAAAUGGUGUUUCAUGGGGAAUAUUAUAAUUGUUACUAUUUGUAAAGUUGUUACACAUAUGUACUAUUGUUAUUCAUUAACAUUUGUGAUAUUUUACAAAAUUGAUGGUUGUAUUAUGGAGAUUGUUGCUACAAUGCAUAAUACUAUUUGCAACAACUCUUUGCAGUGAAGUCUAUUAAGAAAACAGUUUCAAUUCAACGUAUCUGUAUUGGAAAUGCUUAAGUGUUUAUCUUGGUGGUGUGAAUAUUUGAAGAUUUUAACAGUAAUGUAUACCCUAUAUUUCUCUUGUGCAUAGGAACUUUAAGUGAUAUUUUUAGUCAUGUUAACAUGUACAUGCAUUGCUUUUUUUGCUUUAUACAUGACAACUUUUUAUUAGGUAAACGGGUUCUACCAUUUAUUCAUCCAUUUUUUAGACAUACAAGUUCUCACAUUCAUAAAAAGUGCUAAUAAUACUAUAUAAUCUACUGUGCUUAUUGAGCAGUAUCUUCAUUAGUAUGUACAAAGUAAAAUGAAAAUUUGCAUAUACGAUAGUCGCCCUUUAAUUGAUAUAUGUUUUCAAAAUUUAUUCGGAUUUCGAGAAACACAUUAUGUUACAUUAUCCAAAUAUUUUUUUGAACUUUUGCCUCAUUUUAAUAUAUCCGUAAGACAUUUUUUUAAUAUUUGUGCUGGACUAUUAAUCUUACGCUUCUCGCAUCCUUUUCAUGAAACAUCUAUGAAGGCGGCUGUUAUGUCUUUCGAAAUGAUCAGAAUGCAUUAUAUAACCAGCUUUUCUCAGAAGCUUGUCCAAUAAUUGAUGAAAAACCCUACCAACUUGUAGGGGAUAUAUUUAUAACACAUUUAAAAGAAUUAUUUGGCCAAAAAAAACAAAUACAUAUAUUCAUACAGUUUACAGAAGUUUAUAUGGUUAACAGACUGUGAUGCUAUACCCAUUAAUAUAUCGAAAGCUCAAUUUUCGUAGCAAAGCAAAGGAAAUAAUAGUUAAGUUAAGUUCAAUUCAGUUAAGAUAAUAAAAAAGACCAUGGUAGAAGAAACCAGACAGUUGGAAAGAAAAGUGGUGAUUGACCCCCAGUGACAAAUGUUGAAGUUUUGUCCAACUUUCACUUUUCACUCCCCAUUUUUAAAAUCCAAUCUACGAAAUCCUUAAAUGUCGUAAAUUCCAACGAAACCAUAUAAUCUUCUCUUUUAUUGGUUUAUGUAUUUUCAUUAUAAUUUUUAACGACAAAGACGUUUCUCUGCUGGUUGACAAGCGUAAUUAAAAAAAUUAGGCAUCAUCGUAUUAAUAAAUUUAACUAACAAUAUCUAUAAAUUAUAUACAAAAUGACAGGAACAUUCAUAAGUGGAAUUCUCUAAAAUCAAAGGUUAAUAACAAAUUGUAUUAUAGCGCUUACCCCAAAAGAUGUGGUUAAAUAAAUAUAUAAUAAAUUAUCACAGUUAGAAAAUAUCAACAGAAGAAAAU
rnacentral:lncRNA from 1 species